UUGGAGGGCAAGUCUGGUGCCAGCAGCCGCGGUAAUUCCAGCUCCAAUAGCGUAUAUUAAAGUUGUUGCAGUUAAAAAGCUCGUAGUUGAAUUUCGGGAUCAGCAAGUUGGUCGUGCCUCUGGUACGUACUGGCUUUACUGGUUCCUCCUUCUUGAAGAACUGUAGUGUCAUUAAUUUGAUGUUGCAGGGAAACAGGACUGUUACUUUGAAAAAAUUAGAGUGUUUAAAGCAAGCUAACACUUGAAUACAUUAGCAUGGAAUAAUGAAAUAGGACGUUUGAUCCUAUUUUGUUGGUUUCUAGGAUUGACGUAAUGAUUAAUAGGGAUAGUUGGGGGCAUUAGUAUUCAAUUGUCAGAGGUGAAAUUCUUGGAUUUAUUGAAGACUAACUACUGCGAAAGCAUUUGCCAAGGAUGUUUUCAUUAAUCAAGAACGAAAGUUAGGGGAUCGAAGACGAUCAGAUACCGUCGUAGUCUUAACCAUAAACUAUGCCGACUAGGGAUCGGAUGAUGUUAAUCUUUUAAUGACUCAUUCGGCGCCUUACGGGAAAC
rnacentral:rRNA from 1 species